UACGGGGGGGGCAAGCGUUGUUCGGAAUUCCUGGGCGUAAAGGGCUCGUAGGUGGCCAACUCAGUCGGACGUGAAAUCCCUCAGCUUAACUGGGGAACUGCGUCCGAUACUGGAUGGCUUGAGUUUGGGAGAGGGAUGCGGAAUUCCAGGUGUAGCGGUGAAAUGCGUAGAUAUCUGGAGGAACACCGGUGGCGAAGGCGGCAUCCUGGACCAACACUGACACUGAGGAGCGAAAGCCAGGGGAGCAAACGGG
rnacentral:rRNA from 1 species